CGUGUUCAAAGUUACACCAAAGAGUACAUAUGUGAUUCAAAUUGUGAUUGUUUGACUAACAGUUAAGAUAACAUCCAUAAACUAUACUUCAUCAUGUCAAAAUUUUAUGAUUGUCAUUUCACACUUUUGAUCUCCUUUUCGUUUACAGUUUUCGAUUAUAAUCUUAAAAUAUAUCUUAGAGGUAUUUCUAUGAACCCUCUAAUUAAUAUAAUGUCUCCAGGCGUCCAUGGCAACGUCUGUCCAAGUUCAAAAUCAUCGUAAAUUGGUCUGGUGUUUCCAAGUCUCACGAUUGUUUGAAACAACCGUGAAGCUACUUUUCUUGCC
rnacentral:lncRNA from 1 species